CGUUGAAGAGCUGUACUCCUUAGCGUUAGUCUUUUAAACUAAAAAAAAUAAUCUAUAUUUUCAAUGA
rnacentral:tRNA from 1 species